UAAUGCCGGAUGCUCCAUCACACCGCAUGGUGUGUUGGGAAAGCCUUUGCGGCAUGGGAUGGGGUCGCGUCCUAUCAGCUUGAUGGCGGGGUAACGGCCCACCAUGGCUUCGACGGGUAGCCGGCCUGAGAGGGCGACCGGCCACAUUGGGACUGAGAUACGGCCCAGACUCCUACGGGAGGCAGCAGUGGGGAAUAUUGCACAAUGGGCGCAAGCCUGAUGCAGCGACGCCGCGUGAGGGAUGGAGGCCUUCGGGUUGUAAACCUCUUUUGUUAGGGAGCAAGGCAUUUUGUGUUGAGUGUACCUUUCGAAUAAGCACCGGCUAACUACGUGCCAGCAGCCGCGGUAAUACGUAGGGUGCAAGCGUUAUCCGGAAUUAUUGGGCGUAAAGGGCUCGUAGGCGGUUCGUCGCGUCCGGUGUGAAAGUCCAUCGCUUAACGGUGGAUCCGCGCCGGGUACGGGCGGGCUUGAGUGCGGUAGGGGAGACUGGAAUUCCCGGUGUAACGGUGGAAUGUGUAGAUAUCGGAAAGA
rnacentral:rRNA from 1 species